rnacentral:sRNA from 10 species
AUGUACCACCCGUACGCUGCGAUUCUGAGCGCGCCAUCCACGCCCACCUGACGACCGCUCGCUACGGUUUGUUAGCC